rnacentral:rRNA from 1 species
GAUGAACGCUAGCGGGAGGCUUAACACAUGCAAGUCGAGGGGCAGCAUAGAUCAACCGUAAGGCAGAUCUGAUGGCGACCGGCAAACGGGUGAGUAACGCGUAUGCAACCUACCCUGUACAGGGGGAUAACCCGGAGAAAUUCGGACUAAUAUCCCGUAAUAAUAUCCGGAGGCAUCUUUGGAUAUUUAAAGUUCCGACGGUACGGGAUGGGCAUGCGUAACAUUAACUGGUUGGUAAGGUAACGGCUUACCAAGGCUAUGAUGUUUAGGGGUCCUGAGAGGGUGGUCCCCCACACUGGUACUGAGACACGGACCAGACUCCUACGGGAGGCAGCAGUGAGGAAUAUUGGUCAAUGGGCGCAAGCCUGAACCAGCCAUCCCGCGUGCAGGAAGACGGCCCUAUGGGUUGUAAACUGCUUUUCCAGGGAGAGAAACUUACGCACGUGUUGCGUGACUGACGGUACCCUGGGAAUAAGCAUCGGCUAACUCCGUGCCAGCAGCCGCGGUAAAAGUGU